rnacentral:rRNA from 1 species
GAUGAACGCUAGCUACAGGCUUAACACAUGCAAGUCGCGGGGCAGCAUUUCUUAGCUUGCUAAGGAAGAUGGCGACCGGCGCACGGGUGAGUAACGCGUAUCCAACCUGCCCUUGUCCACGGGAUAACCCGGUGAAAAACCGGCCUAAUACCGUAUGAGGUCACAAGCGGACAUCCAACUGUGACGAAAGGUUUAGCGGACAAGGAUGGGGAUGCGUCCGAUUAGCUUGACGGCGGGUAACGGCCCACCGUGGCUACGAUCGGUAGGGGUUCUGAGAGGAAGGUCCCCCACAUUGGAACUGAGACACGGUCCAAACUCCUACGGGAGGCAGCAGUGAGGAAUAUUGGUCAAUGGGCGAGAGCCUGAACCAGCCAAGUAGCGUGCAGGAUGACGGCCCUAUGGGUUGUAAACUGCUUUUGUGCGGGGAUAAAGUGUGGGACGUGUCCCAUAUUGCAGGUACCGCAUGAAUAAGGACCGGCUAAUUCCGUG